UACAGAGGGUGCGAGCGUUAAUCGGAAUUACUGGGCGUAAAACGUGCGUAGUCGGUUAUUUAAGUCGGAUGUGAAAUCCCCGGGCUCAACCUGGGAAUUGCAUUCGAUACUGGAUAGCUAGAGUUCGGCAGAGGGAAGUGGAAUUUCUGGUGUAGCGGUGAAAUGCGUAGAUAUCAGAAGGAACAUCAGUGGCGAAAGCGACUUCCUGGACCAGAACUGACGAUCAGGCACGAAAGCGUGGGGAGCAAACAGG
rnacentral:rRNA from 1 species